AAGCACAGAGAUGUUUAAGGCAAUGGAUAACACAAAUGGACAAAUGGGUUAAAGCUGAUAUUACUAUUUCCCGUGAUCUAAUACCAAAUGAUUAUAAUAUUGUCCUUUCUGUAGACAGACGGCGGUCAUUUCAAGGUUCUAGUUGACGUAGACGAUCUUAAAUUCAGCAAUGUUCACUGUCAAGGUGACCAAGGACUUCCGAUUAUUGGAUGAGAUUUUAGAAAGCGAACUGCAUACGAAAUUGGCAUUUUAUGUCUUGAAAUCAAUUCGUAUAAAAUAAACAGAGAACUUUUUA